GAAGAAUAUACCCCUAUAGUAGUUUGAAUUAAUAGCAGAGAGUCCAUCUCCUGGCAUGAAUUGCAGUUUGUGCUCAUGACUUAUGAGAGCAGAAUUGAACACCUUAGUGCUCUGAAAAAUGGUCUGGCUUCAGUUAACUUACGAGAAGCCUCAGUAAAUUUCGUUCACAGUUCAAAUACUAAUAGAGGAAGAAGGUUUAACUAUGCUGGAAGAAGUAACAACUACAGGGGAGGCAGAAAUUGAGGUAGAGGAGGCAGGCGUUUUGCAAGUAAAGGGCCGUGCCAAAUCUGUGGGAUGAACAACCAUUCAGUAGCAAGAUGCUUUAACCGUUAUGAUGGGAGGUAUAUGGGUACUAAGCCUGAUCGCCACUAUCAAAAUAACUCCUCAGAACCAUCUGCUCUUAUAGCCUCUUCCAGGACUAUUGCGGAUCCAGCUUGGUUUGCAUAUUCAGCUGCCAACAAUUAUGUCACUUCUGACAAGGGCAAUGAUAAGUGUAUUUUUGUACACUUAUUUAGGUCACAAACAUGACUUAAUAAUGAGCAAAAUGAUUGAAUUGUGACUUAAUCUCGUUAUAUUUGUGAAUUGUAGAGAACACCGAUGAACAUGGUGAAAUUCAGAAGAAAAGAGGCGAAAA
rnacentral:lncRNA from 1 species